rnacentral:misc_RNA from 1 species
GAUGAAGAACGUAGCGAAAUGCGAUAAGUAAUGUGAAUUGCAGAGUUCAGUGAAUCAUCGAAUCUUUGAACGCACAUUGCGCCCUUUGGUAUUCCUUAGGGCAUGCCUGUUCGAGCGUCAUUUAAACCUUCAAGCUAAGCUUGGUGUUGGGUGACUGUCCGCUUCACGGCGGACUCGCCUCAAAAUUAUUGGCGGCCGGUACAUUGGCUUCGAGCGCAGCAGAAACGCGAACUCGGGCCCGUCGUAUUGGCUCCCAGAAGCUAUCUUCACAAUUUUGACCUCGGAUCAGGUAGGGAUACCCGCUGAACUUAAGCAUAUCAAUAAGCGGAGGA